UGAGUGAAGAAGGCCUUCGGGUUGUAAAGCUCUUUUGUCAGGGAAGAAACGGCUCCAGCUAAUAUCUGGGGCUAAUGACGGUACCUGAAGAAUAAGCACCGGCUAACUACGUGCCAGCAGCCGCGGUAAUACGUAGGGUGCAAGCGUUAAUCGGAAUUACUGGGCGUAAAGCGUGCGCAGGCGGUUUUGUAAGUCUGACGUGAAAGCCCCGGGCUUAACCUGGGAAUUGCGUUGGAGACUGCAAGGCUUGAAUCUGGCAGAGGGGGGUAGAAUUCCACGUGUAGCAGUGAAAUGCGUAGAGAUGUGGAGGAACACCGAUGGCGAAGGCAGCCCCCUGGGUCAAGAUUGACGCUCAUGCACGAAAGCGUGGGGAGCAAACAGGAUUAGAUACCCUGGUAGUCCACGCCCUAAACGA
rnacentral:rRNA from 1 species